rnacentral:rRNA from 1 species
GAUGAACGCUGGCGGCGUGCCUAAUACAUGCGAGUCGAGCGAACAGACGAGGAGCUUGCUCCUCUGACGUUAGCGGCGGACGGGUGAGUAACACGUGGAUAACCUACCUAUAAGACUGGGAUAACUUCGGGAAACCGGAGCUAAUACCGGAUAAUAUAUUGAACCGCAUGGUUCAAUAGUGAAAGACGGUUUUGCUGUCACUUAUAGAUGGAUCCGCGCUGCAUUAGCUAGUUGGUAAGGUAACGGCUUACCAAGGCAACGAUGCGUAGACGACCUGAGAGGGUGUGCGGCCACACUGGAAGUGAGCCACGGUCCAGACGCCUGCGGUACGCAGCCGUCGGGAAUCUUCCGCAAUGGGCGAAAGCCUGACGCAGCAACGCCGCGUGAGUGAUAAAGAUCUUCGGAUCGUAAAACUCUGUUAUUAGGGAAGAACAAAUGUGUAAGUAACUAUGCACGUCUUGACGGUACCUAAUCAGAAAGCCACGGCUAACUACGUG